CCCCCUCCCCCUCCCCCGCCUUUCUCUCUUCUCUUUUUUCUAUUUACCCUAAAAAUUAAAAUCAGCAUCUCAAAACCCUCAAAUUCUACAUGGCAGCCUUGAUGUUUUAUUUCUCUCUCUUCUCUAUAAGACCACUCUUUCUUCACCCCUUUUUAUUAACAGAGUAUGCUAAUUUCGCUCAGGAAAUAUGGAAUUAGUGCAAGAAUUGUUAAGCUUUUUAACUAAUAGUGUUGUAAAUUCUGUUUAUCCAGCAAAAAUUGAUCGCCCACUUUAGAUUCAUCAGUGGUAGGCUCAAUCAACUCCCCGUUUCUGGCAUGUUAUAGUUAGAAACGUCUCUCGACGACGGGGAAUUUUGAGUAGAUGUCGGCAUUUCCUAAAGAAGAUCUUCGUAAUGACAAUUUUAUAGGCUCAUUGCGACCGUCUUGAGGGACUCGGCGAAGAUCAGCCAACCUGAACUAUGACCGCCCUCGCCAUCCCGCCACCAACUGACACGCUAGCCUCCCAUCAACUAGGGCUAGAUAAAUCGAGCGUUCCAUCCUGGCCCGGGUCCCAAGAAGGAAGAGUCAAUUCUGGUGGUCUCGUAAGUCGUUUCUAACAUACUCAUGGUGGAAGGGAAAGAUCUUGUUUCCAUAACCAGCGAUACGAUGCUGAACGAAGAACCUUUCCAGAGUGCUGAGAUGGGGCUUGAUAUGUGUGAUCAAGGACAAUUACCAGUUUUCAUGGUGGAGAAAAGGGAUGAAGAAAUAAAGUUGGAAAAGGAACCCUUAUCUGCUGAGAAUGCCUAUUCGGAGGCAAUUGAAUCAAACACUGAUAGAAAGAUUGUGGGUAAUGAUGAUGGUGGUAUGAGAGUUGAUGUUGAGUCUGCCAUUUCUGAUGAGCGAAAAUUGCUAGAAGACAAACGAUUUUUUCUAGUUCCUAUAGUACUUCAUCCUUGUUGCUAAUGAAUUUUAUUGUAAAUUAAAUCAAGAUUGAUAUGUUUAUUUGUUCAUUAUUUGUAUCUUAAUUUCUGAAUAAUAUACUAGAGUAACUUUUUCUAACUGAAA